rnacentral:rRNA from 1 species
GGAGACUGCCGGUGAUAAACCGGAGGAAGGUGGGACGACGUCAAGUCAUCAUGGCCCUUACGAGUAGGGCUACACACGUGCUACAAUGGCGCAUACAGAGGGCAGCCAACUUGCGAAAAGUGAGCGAUCCCAAAAAGUGCGUCGUAGUCCGGAUUGGAGUCUGCAACUCGACUCCAUGAAGUCGGAAUCGCUAGUAAUCGUGGAUCAGAAUGCCACGGUGAAUACGUUCCCG